rnacentral:lncRNA from 1 species
AAUGAAUAGGUCCUCUAAUUUAGGCUCCAGGCAAUGUGGAGGUAACUCCAGUAAUACUUGUUCGGCUUCAGCUACACCCAACUCUUCUUAUUUCUCCUCUUAACUGGCUACAAACUGUACUCAACCACAUCAUGCGCCAUCACCAUGACAACCAACAACAUCACCUUUACGCUCUCCUUCAUCCUUUCGUCACUGGCGAGAACAUGUACUCUGUCCAAUCACGCACCUCCCUUGGCAUGUAGAGCCAGACCAUGGUGGGAUGCUCACAAUAUUGAUCCAGGCAUGACCAAACAGGCGAGCAGAGUGCCAAUGCUACAAUUAGGGGCACUUUACAACUGGUAUAUAUACAUGUAACAAUAUGUAAAUUACCAAAGAACAAUAGCCAAACUACCAGAUCAGAAAUGUAUUUGCCAAAGUCCAGGAUACCCACCAAUUCAAGAAAGAUACAUGGGUGUUCAAUGCGCUUUGAGGAAAAUGAUUAAGUAUAAAAUUUAAUUAGAAGCGGUCACAAUGGUACAUUGUUCCUAGAGUGAGGCUAACCUUUGUGAUCAUUUGAAUGGAUGGGGGCCUUCAAAUCUUGACAAAAUUUGGGCAAAAUGUGUGAUGAGCUUGAGAGGAAGAAGGACAAGAACAUAGAGGAGAGGGGAAAGGGGAAGAACAGAGCGACCUUGGGUGGGCGAAGGGUCUAUGCAGGACGACCUUUAGUACCGGUUCGUGAUACGACCCUGUACUAAAGCUGCUGGAGGGGCCCCGGACUGACAACAUCCUGCCAGCACUCACUUUAGUACCGGUUCGUGGCACGAACCGGCACUAAUGCGCUUCACAUUUGACCUUUUUUCUACUAAUGAUGAGCUCUUGAUGGGCUUACGGUAGUUGAAAACGAUUACCGGCCAUCCUUAUAAACUGUGACAACCAAAUGGUUUAUUCAGGUUAUUUGACAUUCAGACCCUGAGAAAGGCUCUGCACUUGCCACGGCUGCUACUCAAGUCUGUAGUGCCAUCCACCUCCUCAUAAAGCAGUUGUCACACGAUCUAGACAUAAUGCGUUGGUUGAUUGGAUAGAAAAUUAAAUAUUAAACACAUAUAAUAUUGUUGUUUGGUCCUUGUAUGGUCUCAGUAAUAGCAAAGGCUUAUGAAAAUCGCGAUUUCAGUAUUUGAAUCUGAAACUAAUUUCAGUUUAUUUACUUUCACAAAAAAAGUACUCGUUUAGUGAAGGCAUUGACAUGGAUCUUGCUGCAUAUAUGUAGCACUUUCCUUAAUCUAAUCAAAACCUAGAAAUGCAAGUGUGGUCUAGUCUGCAAGUCUAGCCCUGCACAUUGGUAGUUUCAGGCUAGCAAUUUGUCAAUCACUUUUCGUGGCAUCCAUCUAGGCAGACACGCAAAUGUACAAACCAUUUUUUGUUAUUCUUUCGAUAAAAAAACACAAGAAAGCUCUGUAGUUGGCACACCUGCUACACUCCACUUUGUAGUGCGAUCCACCUCCUCGUUCAACAGGCAUUGUAUGAUCUAGAAUUAAAGCAUUAGCUGAUCGGAUAGAACAUUAAAUAUUAUACACAUAUAAUAUUGUUGCUUGGUCCUUGCAUGGUCAUUGUUUAUCUUUCUGGAAAUGUACUACUUUCCAUAAUCUAAUCAAAACCAGCAAAAGCAAGUGUGGCCUAGUCUGUAACUUUAGCCAAGCACAUUGGUAGUUUCAACCUAGAAACUUGUCAAUCAAUUUUCAUGGCAUCCAUCCAGGCAGGCAUGCACACCUACAAGCACUUUUUGUCAUUCUUUCAAGAAAAAAAAACACAAGAAAGCUCUGCACUUGGCACACCUACUACACUCCACUUUGUAGUGCUAUCCACCUCCUCGUACAGCAGGUGGCAUGAUCUAGAAAUAAAGCAUUGGUUGACUGGAUAGGACCUUAAAUAUUAGACACAUAUAAUAUUGUUGGUUGAUCCUUGUAUCGCAUGGUCUCAAUAAUAACAAAUGCUCAAUGACAAUCAUGAUUAGUAAAUAUAUCCAAACCAUAGCUGCCACUGAGCGGAUAAUUAUAUUUCCACGCAACCCAAGAAGAACGGUGCAACCUGCAUGGGCGACUUCAAGCCAAUCAGUCUCAUACAAUCCAUCGAUGAGACUGGCUGCGGUCUUCGACAUGAUUAUCUCCCGUGCGGAAUCUGCUUUUCAGGGGGCUAAAUGCAUCCAUGAUAGUUUCCUCUUCAUUCAGAAUAGUGUGCGCGCACUCCACGGCCGCAAAAUACCCCCCCCCCCUGCUGCUGAAACUAGAGAUAACCAAAGCCUUCGACAGCGCCUCCUGGGACACUAGUGGAAAAAGGGCCAUUUGUCCUGGUUCGUAAGGCCCAUCUGCCCCGGUUGUGGAUCUGGAACUAAAGGGUCGUUACUAAAGCCCUAGGCCUUUAGUCACGGUUCUUACAUGAACCGGGACCGAUGGUCCUCCACAUGGCCGGUGCUGCGAGCCCAGGCAGGAGGGCCUUUGGUCCCGGUUGGUGGCACCAACCGGGACCAAUAGGCAUCCACGCGUCAGCAGCUGGCAGGAGCUGAGAUUUUUGUUUUUUUCUGAAAGGGGUGGUUUAGAGGGUAAUUUAGGGUGUGUUAGCUAGCUAAUAGAGAGAAGUGUCCUCUCUUAUCUUCGUGCUUGGUUUACCAACGCUACUGCUAUGCCUAAAGAUGGCUUAUAUUAGAGUGAAGGCAACAUGUGCUGCAUGUCGAAAAUAAUACUAAUCCUAACUUGAUCAAGUUUGGAUUAGUACUACUUUCGACAUGCACCACAUGCAUGUUGCCUUCACUUCAAUCCAAUCCAUAUUCAUUUCACUCACUGAUAUAUAAUAACUCUUCAUGCUCGCAUCAUGCAUCGUCAUAAUAAUAAGUCCUACUAAUCAUCAUCAUACAACUUCUACUUGUUAUUAUUUUGCCCACCGAACGUUCAGUUCAGUUCAGUUUUUAUAGAAUAGUAGAAUACAACCCUAUAUUUUGUAGAACCAAACUGAGUUCAGUUCAGUUUAAAACCAAAAGCAGUUUUUAAGGUAUUGCUAUCUAGUCAUACACAUUGUCAAGCAGCAAGUUUUUGACACAAUCAAACUGAAUUUUAUUGGUCUUAUGGGAAUGCACAAGGAUGUAUUGAUGUGAAACCAAUGAUUCGAUCAGAUGAGGCUAUGUUGUAUUGUAGAUUUACAAGAAAUUGGUUCAGACUGAUAGAGUUAUGUUAGGAUUUACAGAAUUACUCUGUUUUAGUCAUACACAAAUUAUCAGACAACAACUAUUUUGAAGGAAUCAAACUGACUACUUCUAUAAGAAACUUACUUGAAGUAGACACUUGAAGAAACAUGUUUCCUGUAAUCUAGACACUUGAAGUAGGUAAGCACCUAAAAUAAACUGAAUAUGAAGCUCUGCAAUUCCCUCAUUGGUCCUGACAUAUUGGAUCCUUCGCCAUCCUGGGUUUACUGGCUCAUUCUUUCCAACAAAUUUAAUUUGACGAUUUGACAGAGAUACAAUACUGGAGAAACUGGGAUUUCCAAAGCCAACUGGCACCAAAUAAUAAAGCAAAAUCAGGUUAUAGAUCCACUUCUUCCUGUUAUGGAAAAUCUAUGCAUUCUGCAAAACACUAAAAUAACUACAGAAUAUGCACAAUUAGAAACAACAAGCUUGUGAUACACUAAUCAGAUUAUUCCUAUGGAGCUCAAACUUGUAAUUAGAAAUACUGGACUGGUGCAGACUGCAGUAACCAUCUACAUUAGUCAAUCAUUACUCCAAGAUCAAAAUGUGAUAAUCAUAACACAAGUUUGCUUCAUGGAAAAAUUGUAAUAUGUGCUUGUACUCUGGUGAUAGCUAUACUCAUUCCUAAGAUAACAAACAUAUAUUUUGACAAACUGAUGAGUAUUUUUUCCACUUUUUUGUGAUCUGAUCGUCCAUUGAGCAGGCAGGCAGAGGCAUACAAGGGCUUUGUAGCGCUGGCCUGAUGUAAUGUAAAGAUAGAGGUGCCAACAGUUAGUCACCUGCGAAAGAACAUGUGUUCAUCAGGGCCUGAACUCCUUUUUUCCCAACCUCUGUAGCCAAUUCAGGUUGGAAAAUUUCAUGAAAAAAUCGUCAGUCAUCAUCUGCAUGAGUUUCUCUAUUGGUUGCAUCUGUAUGUAUACAUACUGUCAUGGAGUAACUCCUCUCUCAGUGCAUAAGAGAACGAAUUUUAGAAAAGGGCCAUUUGGCGAUGACUCAUGUGAGUUGUGUUCAAGCCACUUGACCAAUGCUGCAGCUAAAGCAUGUCUGGAGAAAGUAACCAUGAAGAGAUAUAGGUUAUACAGAAAAAAAAUUCAAGCAAAAAAUUUAACAUAAAACAUGGUAAGCAGGAUGAGACUUUUUUCAAUUUUCUUCCCUUAGGGGGCUUACCAAUUUUUUGCCACAGCAGCCACCAUGACUCAUGGUAGCAAGAAAAUUUCAGUCCCACUAAAGGGCAAACAAAGUAUUCGCACAACUAGAGCAAAGAAGAUCACAAGAUGGAAAAAGUGAUCAUCAUUAUAUAUAGAUAAACAUAGGAUGGUGAAGAAAAUAAUUCUUUCCCCUCAAUCUGACAUAGCAGAGCAUGAGUACACCCAAAUAGUUACAUAAUUUGCCUGCUUUCCGUACUACCUAGAUAAUUAGAUUUGCUCGAGGGAAUAUGUAGAAAUUAGAAAACCAACAUAAAGUAAACUGACAUUGUUCUAACCUUGCAAAUUGAGGUGCAUCGGUAAGAAAACAGAAACUUGUUACCCUGUUGCUUGCACAAGUAGCAGGCUUCCUAGGUUUGAAUCACUCCAAGAAGUCAAUGGGUAAAUUGCAGCCGUGCUCUGUUCUGCUCAUUGUGCGGGAGGGCGAAGUGGUUAAUACACCGACAUAGGGACGGAUUACAUCGCAAAUUCGACAGCCAACAACGAUAGGGCCAUAUCUCUGAAGAAAAACACAUCCACGAUGUGAUCUUUACUCCCUUAUAGCCACUAGAGAAAGUAGAUGGAGAGCGUCAUCACGAUCACAGAUGCAGGGUUCAUCACCAGCACCGGCGGAGCUCUGUCCAGGCUGCAGAGGCGACGACGCGGGGUUCAUCUCCAUCUUACACAACCAGGCGUCUACCGGCAGGCGGCAUGCCCUGUUGAGCCGGCCCCAGUGCUCCGUCAAGGCUACUAUUAGUGCAGUAGCAGGUCGCCGCGCACACCUGCUCGCUUGCUUCAUGCCCCUGUAUCGCAGUAUACUUGCCGCCUACUCACGGUCGACAUACAUGCAUACACACAAGCAGCCACACACCACAUCCUCUACAGACCCAGGACAACAUCUUCUACACACCCUGAAUUGACGACGUAGCACGAUAGCAGUACAGAAAACAAUUCUAUAGUCAAAUUCCAUCAAACACUAUGUUUGCCUCGAAAUCAGAAUGUUAUGGUAGGGGGAGUGGGAUCCAGGAGGCCGGUGAGUAGGGGAGGUAUACUGGGCGCCAAGUAGGAGGAGUGCGCUGGGCGCUGUCAUGAGCGCGGCUGUGGGACAGACGCCGAUGACCAGCUCGUCUGUGCUCCCUGCAUGUCCGAUGAGCAGCUCGUUCGUCCUCUCCGCAUGGCCGACAAGCAGCUAUGCGAGAUGCGGCGGAUUCUCCCGAUCUCUUCCAGAUUCGGCGACGGCGGAGCGAGGACGGGCACCGAGGAGAGGAUGGACCGGGGGCGCGGCGGUGGAGGGAGGGGUGGAGGCGGCUAGAAGAGGGACGAAAGCGCGGUGGUGGAGGGAUGGGGCGUGGCGGCGGAGGUAAUCCUUGUGUUCUCGUACGGGCUGUGGUGGCAGGGUUUUAUUUUGCAAAAAAACGAAACGUUAUCCACACUUUAAGUAGGAUUGCGGGUCAAUUUAUUAGGAACGGAGGGAUUUUUUUGCAAAAAAGCCCGAUGACGGACGACCAGCCGCGAUCGCUCGUUUAUUAUUACUAGUAAGCGUGCACGUGCAACGCACGUCUUGACUAAUAUAAAUGAUAAUGGCCACACAAAUUUAUAAACUAUAUUGGAUGUUGUUCAAUUUAGCCAUAACUUCAAAUAUCGUGUCAACUAAAAUUGAUUUCCAUCCAUUGUUUAGAUCAGAUACAUAGUAUUGUGAAAAUUCCACUGAUCACAUAAAUAAUAAUAGAUACAAUGCAAUGCAACUUGUGUUAAAGGACCAAAAACGAAAAACAUGUACCAUAAAAAGAUAAUCUGGAAAACUUGUGGAACAGUCACAAAAUCAAGAAGAUAAUGAAUGAAUAGGUCCUCUAAUUUAGGCUCCAGGCAAUGUGGAGGUAACUCCAGUAAUACUUGUUCGGCUUCAGCUACACCCAACUCUUCUUAUUUCUCCUCUUAACUGGCUAGAAACUGUACUCAACCACAUCAUGCGCCAUCACCAUGACAGCCAACAACAUCACCUUUACGCUCUCCUUCAUCCUUUCGUCACUGGCGAGAACAUGUACUCUGUCCAACCAUGCACCGCCCUUGGCAUGUAGAGCCAGACCAUGGUGGGAUGCUCACAAUAUUGAUCCAG